rnacentral:rRNA from 1 species
GGUGAGUAACGCGUAAGGAACUUGCCUCUUGGACUGGGACAACUGUUGGAAACGACAGCUAAUACCGGAUAUUAUGAGAUUCUCGCAUGAGAAACUUAUGAAAGCUAUAUGCGCCAAGAGAGAGCCUUGCGUUCCAUUAGCUAGUUGGUGGGGUAACGGCCCACCAAGGCGACGAUGGAUAGCCGGCCUGAGAGGGUGAACGGCCACAAGGGGACUGAGACACGGCCCUUACUCCUACGGGAGGCAGCAGUGGGGAAUAUUGGACAAUGGGCCACAAGCCUGAUCCAGCAAUUCUGUGUGCACAAUGAAGGUCUUCGGAUUGUAAAGUGCUUUCAGUUGGGAAGAAGAAAGUGACGGUACCAACAGAAGAAGCGACGGCUAAAUACGUGCCAGCAGCCGCGGUAAUACGUAUGUCGCAAGCGUUAUCCGGAUUUAUUGGGCGUAAAGCGCGUCUAGGCGGAAAAAUAAGUCUGAUGUUAAAAUGCGGGGCUCAACUCCGUAUUGCGUUGGAAACUGUUUUUCUAGAGUACUGGAGAGGUGGGCGGAACUACAAGUGUAGAGGUGAAAUUCGUAGAUAUUUGUAGGAAUGCCGAUGGAGAAGUCAGCUCACUGGACAGAUACUGACGCUGA